rnacentral:rRNA from 1 species
GACCAAGAAGUCUAACAUGUGUGCGAGUCAUUGGGUAUAUUGUUGAAACCUAAGGGCGUAAUUAAAAUAACUAUUUUAUGGGAUUACAAGUGAAUUAAUUUUCAUUUCUCCAUCCCGGGGCGUUCUAUAUGAACAUGAAUCAAGCAAUUGGUCCCUCUGUUCGAGAGCGUACCUUGAGCAUACAUGCUGUGACCCGAAAGAUGGUGAACUAUACCUGAUCAGAUCGAAGCCAGGAGAAAUUCUGGUGGAGGAUCGAAACAGUUCUGACGUGCAAAUCGAUUGUCAGAAUUGGGUAUAGGGGCGAAAGACCAAUCGAACCAUCUAGUAGCUGGUUCCCUCCGAAGUUUCCCUCAGGAUAGCUGGCGCAAAGAAUUAUAUUAUAUAUAAUCUUAUCUGGUAAAGCGAAUGAUUAGAGGCCUUGGGGCCGAAACGACCUCAACCUAUUCUCAAACUUUAAAUGGGUAAGAACCUCAUCUUUCUUGAUCUGAAGAUAUUGGGGUUUAGAUAUAUUGUGCCCAGUGGGCCACUUUUGGUAAGCAGAACUGGCGCUGUGGGAUGAACCAAACAUGAUGUUACGGCGCCUAAAUUAAUGACUCAUAUUGAUACCAUGAAAGGCGUUGGUUGCUUAAAACAGCAGGACGGUGGACAUGGAAGUCGUAAUCCGCUAAGGAGUGUGUAACAACUCACCUGCCGAAGCAACUAGCCCUUAAAAUGGAUGGCGCUCAAGUCAUAUGCCUAUACAUCAUCGCUAGAAUAAAAAUUGUUGACUAUUUUAUUGGUGAUCAUUGUGAAAUUCUAGUGAGUAGGAGGGUACAAUGGUGUGCGCAGAAGUGUUUGGCGUGAGCCUGCAUGAAGCCGCCAUUGGCACAGAUCUUGGUGGUAGUAGCAAAUAAUCGAAUGAGAUCUUGGAGGACUGAAGUGGAGAAGGGUUUCGUGUGAACAGUGGUUGAUCACGAGUUAGUCGGUCCUAAGCUUUAUGCGAAAGCUGUUUAAUUUAUGUUACACACACAAUUUAUUUGUUGUACAUAAUUCAAUAAAAGCGAAAGGGAAUACGGUUCCAAUUCCGUAACCUGUUGAGUAUACGUUUGUUUAUUAAAAAUGGGUCUUAUUACACUCAUCCUGGCAACAGGAACGACCAUAGAGAAGCCUUCGAGAGAUACUGGAAGAGUUUUCUUUUCUGCUAAACAAAUGUAUCACCAUGGAAGUCUUUUAUAGAGAGAUAUGGUGAAUGGCUUGGAAGAGCAUGACAUUUACUGUUGUGUCAGUAUUUUCUCCUUGGACCUUGAAAAUCUAUGGUGGGGCCACGCAAACUUCUCAACAGACCGUACCGAUAUCCGCAG